rnacentral:rRNA from 1 species
GUCCAUGGCCACAACACACUGAAUGUGCCUGAUCUCAGAAGCUAAACAGGGUUGUUGGACCUGGCUGGUACUUGGAUCUGAGAUAAUACCAUGAAAU